UCUUCCCUUCUUAUUUUACAACAUCAGUUUUACACCUUAAAUUCCAUCUACAUUAAAUUUUUACCACGGUGUCAUUAGGGUCGACACCUCUUUCCCAGAAGAGGGUUUUUCGGACGGUUUAAAGGCAGAAAUGCAGGUCAUUUCAUACAAACGAAUUUCAAAAAAUAAAAAACGGCAUUAUAACCUCGAUCUGGGUUAUUGAC